CCUCAGCUGGCUCAGUUGGUAGAGCAUGUGACUCUCAAUCUCAGGGUCAUGAGUUCGAGCCCCAGGUUGGGUG
rnacentral:tRNA from 1 species